GUGCUUGCUUUGGCAGCAUGUAUACUAAAAUUGGAACGAUACAGAGAAGAUUAGCAUGGCCCCGUGCAAGGAUGACAUGCAAAUUCGUGAAGCGUUCCAUUAAAAA
rnacentral:snRNA from 1 species